rnacentral:lncRNA from 1 species
AUGAGUGGAUGUGUAAGAUCAAGAUCUAAGUCUAAACAAAGAAAAGGUGAUCGAGAGUAUAACCAGCCAGCUGCACCUAUGGCUGGCCAGCAGCCCAGUGAUAAGCAACCUCAACAAAAGGAGACACCAACUGGAAGUCAGAAUAUUAUACCUGAUCAAAAGAAAGAAGUUAAAGAAGCACCUGUGGAUCAAGGUGAAGGGAAAGGGGGAAGGAAUGUCUAUGGGGUCCAGGGUAUAUGUGUGCAUCGUGCAUUUUGACAUACCAUAACAAGAUGAAACAAAACAUUACAAGAGAAUCUCAGUCAAUUCCUGAAAUUUGGUUGAAAAUAUGAAGACAGCAUAGGUUGCAGCUUCAUAUGCUCCUUCACUCUAAUGAAUUUCCCCUUUUUCUUCCAGAUUUAAUCUGUGUGCUUGAACACACAGUCUUUUUUAUUUUUUUUUUUAUUUUAUUUUUAUUUUUUUUUUAGAAAGACAGACUGCCACGGUGCAGCGCCUCAUUUGGAUGUGUCUGGAGUCUUGGAAGCUUGACUACCCUACGUUCUCCUACAAAUGGACCUUGAGAGCUUGUUUUGGAGGUUCUAGCAGGGGAGCGCAGCUACUCGUAUACCCUUGACCGAAGAACGGUCCUCCUCUAUCGGGGAAGGUCGUCCUCUUCGACCAAGCGCGCAGCUUCGGGAGGGACGCACAUGGAGCGGUGAGGGAGGAAGGGGACACCCGCCUAGCCAGCCAGAUCAGCCGAAUCAACCCUGGCGAUCAAUGGGGUGACAGAUGUCGCAGCCAGAUCGCCCUCACAUCCCACACAGUCUUUUUUAAAUCAGAGGAAACUGUUAACUACAAAAGUAUGCACUGUUUACUAGUUUAAUUUUUUCUUAGAAUUUUCUUGUGUGGCCUUUUCAUUCAUCUCCUACAAAGUGUAAACAAUUUUUAACAGCACAUGCAGAGUGCCAAGUGAACAUACCAUAUAACAUCUGGAAUAAAGACGAUUUGCAUAGGGAUGGUAGCCUCA